UCUUAUGGAUGAGCAAAGAAUAUGGUUUAUUGAGAUGGAAUCUAUUAAUCAUGAAAAUGCUGUGAA
rnacentral:pre_miRNA from 1 species